rnacentral:rRNA from 2 species
AGUCGAGCGGACAGAUGGGAGCUUGCUCCCUGAAGUCAGCGGCGGACGGGUGAGUAACACGUGGGCAACCUGCCUGUAAGACUGGGAUAACUCCGGGAAACCGGGGCUAAUACCGGAUAAUUCUUUCCCUCACAUGAGGGAAAGCUGAAAGAUGGUUUCGGCUAUCACUUACAGAUGGGCCCGCGGCGCAUUAGCUAGUUGGUGAGGUAACGGCUCACCAAGGCGACGAUGCGUAGCCGACCUGAGAGGGUGAUCGGCCACACUGGGACUGAGACACGGCCCAGACUCCUACGGGAGGCAGCAGUAGGGAAUCUUCCGCAAUGGACGAAAGUCUGACGGAGCAACGCCGCGUGAGUGAUGAAGGUUUUCGGAUCGUAAAACUCUGUUGUUAGGGAAGAACAAGUACCGGAGUAACUGCCGGUACCUUGACGGUACCUAACCAGAAAGCCACGGCUAACUACGUGCCAGCAGCCGCGGUAAUACGUAGGUGGCAAGCGUUGUCCGGAAUUAUUGGGCGUAAAGCGCGCGCAGGCGGUUCCUUAAGUCUGAUGUGAAAGCCCCCGGCUCAACCGGGGAGGGUCAUUGGAAACUGGGGAACUUGAGUGCAGAAGAGAAGAGUGGAAUUCCACGUGUAGCGGUGAAAUGCGUAGAGAUGUGGAGGAACACCAGUGGCGAAGGCGACUCUCUGGUCUGUAACUGACGCUGAGGCGCGAAAGCGUGGGGAGCAAACAGGAUUAGAUACCCUGGUAGUCCACGCCGUAUACGAUGAGUGCUAAGUGUUAGAGGGUUUCCGCCCUUUAGUGCUGCAGCAAACGCAUUAAGCACUCCGCCUGGGGAGUACGGGCGCAAGGCUGAA